AUGCAUCUAUCUGUGUAUGAUGAAGCCAGCAGCAGCAGCAGCACCCGCCGUUGCUUGCUCGCAUCUUCACCGGUGAUGAUGAUGAUGAUGAUGCCGCUGAAGAAGAAGACAUGGAUGGCUGGCCGAUUGGGACGUGGCAUGGGAAAAGAAAGUCUCUCCCCAAUUUUGUUUUCUAAUGAUGUUCAUGAUGAAGACAUGCUGGGUGGAUGGAGAAAGAAAGCUUCUCCAUUUGUUUCCCCCCCUUUUCUCUGUGUGUGUAAGACUGGGAAAACGAUUUCAGCACCUGUUUGUUUGACAUUGGACAAUGUUGGGCACCGGCUGAUGGAUACUGAACCAUGCGUGUAUGAUCAGCAUUCACCUGUUGCUUCGCAUUGCGCCUCGCCUCAAAUCUUCACUAAUGAUGGUGAUGAUGAUGAUGAAGACAUUAGACAUGGACGCUGCAUUGGAAACAGAAACUUUCUCCCAAUAUAUUUUCUAUAA
rnacentral:rRNA from 1 species